UUUAGGAAAAUGUUUUUAUUUCGUAUGUGAUAUGAUGAGGAUUGGAGCGGAUCUAUGUCCCUUGAUUUGCCCAUGGGUCAACAUUAGUCCAAUUGCUAAGACCAGUGCGGACGAAAUCAUGAAAAAGAAAGAAAUUCAGAGAAAAAUUGUUGACGAAGAGGAGGAUAUAGAGCACCAAGAAAUAGAUAACUCCACAUAUAAGUACAUAAUGCUUAGCAAUGGAAUAAAGGUAAAACUAAAGAACUAAAAGUUACAAUUAAAUGUUAAGUUUCAUGAUUUCAUCUUAAAUGACCAAAAUCUUAACUUUAAGCUAUAACUUAAAUAUUCAAAUAAAAUUUUCUAUUAAUUAAUCAUGAUUCUCUUGAGAAUGUUGCUGCGCUUGCGUAUUUAUAGCCUAUUUAUGAUAUCAGUCAGAGAUUAGAUUAAAUUUAACGAUCUGAAUUCAUUAUUUUACAGAACUUUUAUGCUAUGAACUCGCGCAUUCUUUAGGUUUGGACUAUGUAGUUUUUUUUUGGG